UUCUCCAGCAGUUCCACCGCCGGGCAGUCGUCGUCCGCGAUUAACUCCUCUUCUGCGGCCGCUUCCUUAACGGCGGUCACAGUUCCCACUGAAAAGGAUACAUCGACGGUGCCACCACUCGCUUGUGUAUCCCGGCAAAGAAGAGUGCGAUGAGCGUGAUACAGCUGAUGGUGAAAAAGGGAUGAUUCCACAGCGAUGAAAAGAAAGACACCUGUGGGAGAAGAGGAGCACAGCCACAACAGUUAUAGACACAGUUCUCAAUCUGCUAACAUGGUGAGCUAAUGCACUGCUGCAUCACAAUCCAGCUAAAAUGAUAAUCUAUUUAUAUACAAGCAAAUAAAGAGUAAUGUUUUCAUCUCUA